ACUCAAAUGAAUUGACGGGGACCCGCACAAGCGGUGGAGCGUGUUGUUUAAUUCGACGAUAAACGAAGAACCUUACCCAGGUUUGACAUCCUUGGAAGCUCUACGAAAGUAGAGUGUGCUUUUAGAACCAAGUGACAGGUGAUGCAUGGCCGUCGUCAGCUCGUGUCGUGAGAUGUUUGGUUAAGUCCAUCAACGAGCGCAACCCUUGUGAUUAGUUGAAUUUUUCUAAUCAGACUGCCCUGGCAACAGGGAGGAAGGAGGGGAUGAUGUCAGGUCAGUAUUUCCCUUACAUCUGGGGCUACAAACACGCUACAAUGGCCGGUACAAAGGGCAGCCAAGUCGCAAGACGGAGCAAAUCCCAUCAAAGCCGGUCCCAGUUCGGAUAGCAGGCUGAAACUCGCCUGCUUGAAGUCGGAAUCGCUAGUAACGGCAGGUCAGCUAUACUGCCGUGAAUACGUUCCCGGGUCUUGUACACACCGCCCGU
rnacentral:rRNA from 1 species